GACGAACGCUGGCGGCGUGCUUAACACAUGCAAGUCGAACGGAAAGGCCCUGCUUUUGUGGGGUGCUCGAGUGGCGAACGGGUGAGUAACACGUGAGUAACCUGCCCUUGACUUUGGGAUAACUUCAGGAAACUGGGGCUAAUACCGGAUAGGAGCUCCUGCUGCAUGGUGGGGGUUGGAAAGUUUGGGUGGUUGGGGAUGGACUCGCGGCUUAUCAGCUUGUUGGUGGGGUAGUGGCUUACCAAGGCUUUGACGGGUAGCCGGCCUGGGAGGGUGACCGGCGACAUGGGGACUGAGGUACGGCCCAGACUCCUACUGGAGGCAGCAGUGGGAAAUAUUGCACAAUGGGCGGAAGCCUGAUGCAGCAACGCCGGGUGCGGAAUGACGGCCUUCGGGUUAUAAACCGCUUUCGCCUGUGACGAAGCGUGAGUGACGGUAAUGGGUAAAGAAGCACCGGCUAACUACGUG
rnacentral:rRNA from 1 species